rnacentral:lncRNA from 1 species
AGAGGCCUCGUUUGCCCGACACUUACGACAGGCCUUAGGACGUAAGGCGUGGACGUGCGUGACGUCACCCUCUGGCCUGCGAGAUGGCGAGGGCAAGUAGCGGGGCCGAUGCUCCCUUGGGAUCCGGGUGUGGCUCGGCUCAGGUAACGCCCGGCCCUAGGACUCCUUCGGCCUCCGCCCACGGGGAGUGCUGAGACUGCCGGCCGGUGUGCUGGCGACCUUUACCCAGGCUUGGUCAAGGCUUCCUGGCUGGCGCAACUGCACUGGCCUCGCAGUGGACGCCUGCUGGUGACCUUUACUCUGUUAAACCAUCUUCCUGCUCUCCCAGUGAGAGCCUCAAAGCUGGGGAAGGUAAAGCAGCCUUGCCCAGGACUUACAAAGAGUCGUUUCCAUACACGUCGCUCUUCUUGUUCUGUGUCAUAUAGUAAUACUGCUCAAUGGGGAGCUUUCUGAAAAGACAGCACAGUAAACUCAGUGUAGUUCUACAAAAGGACGGCACAUCCAUGAGACAGCGAAGGACGAACAGGGGAACACAGCCAUAACUAUACAGAGCUUCUACAGAGAGCAUACAAAAGUGAAUGGAUGAACUGGGAGAUGUCUGACUCGACUUAGAAUUUCUGAAGCAUGCACACUAUGGCUAAGUUUCAGACUGAAAAGCCAGAAAAAACAGGUAGAAGUUACAAGAAAGAAAAAGUCUUUUUAGAAACACCACAAAGAAAAUGAUCAACAAUCAAGAACAGACAAAAGCAGAAUGGAUUGGCUGUGUGGAAGGUUUUUGUUUUAUGAGUGUGUGUAUAUGCAUGACUGUAUGUAUGGUACACGUGUGUGCAGUUGCCCUAGGAGGCCAGGAGAGGGCACUGCAUCUUCAGGAACUGGAAUUACUGGUGGUUGCAAGCUGCCUAAUGUAGGAUAUGGGAGCCAGACUCACAUCUUGAGAACCAAACUUGUGUCCGUAGGAAGAACAGCAAGUGCUCUUAACAGAUGAAGUAUCUUUCCAGCCCUACUUUGGAAGUGUUUAAACUGAGAUAAGGUGGCUUUCUGUCUUAAUUCCCUAAGAAUAAAGAAAAAAGUUUGUUGUAUGUGUUUCUACGCAGAUUGUGAAGCCAGAAGUUGACAUUAAACAUCUUCCUUGACCGCACUUCA